ensembl:lncRNA
AUUUGACAAGAAUGCACCUAGUCCUCCAAUCACCCGAACUCCAGCCAUCACAUUGUUUUAAAGAAAUCAAAAUAGCAAACAAUGCCUUGUAAACAUAUAAACAGCUGAGUUAAUGUAAUUAUAUUAAUCAAUGCCACAAACCUGGGACAUAGUAAACCGUUCAUAUGGUGCUCUUCUACCAGAGAGCACACAGAUUCUUCUGCUUUUCUAUUUUAGAAAUUAGAGCAGCAAAAAUAAAAAAUGUAAAACAGCAGUGAUUUUUGGUGGGUGAGUUACAAACGGAGAACCAACUGAAUGCAUAAGGCAGGUUUAAUAUAAAUACUAGGUCAACUCCAGCAGAAUGAGAAACACACUCAAAACAAGGAAGACAUGCCGAAACGCAACUAUAUCAACAGCUUUCUUGUCAAUUUAACAAGUCAAUGUUGCUGCUAUCAAUUGUGAGCAGCACAUUUACCACUGUAUUCAAUCUGAACCUCGGAAUAAGCAGGAAGACAGCAUCACCAGAGUAAAAAAAAAAGCUGGCAAAAACAGUACACAACAACACUUUUAAACGUGUCACAGUCUAGAGGUUAUCAAAUCAGGAGGAGUGAAGGAAGCAGCAUAGGGAAAAUGGAUGAAGGUAGAUGAGAUGGAGAGUUCCAAAGUGUCCAAAGUUGAGGGACCAUGGGGCAUAAAAGGCAGUGUGGAAUAAGGGGUUGCUAGAGGGAUGGUUGGCCAUGGAAUAAACAUAAAAUUGGGUGCUGGUGUGCUUCUGCAUCCCUUAUAGGUUGUCGUCACAAAUAUCCAGCCAGGUCCAGUUACACAUGGGGUCUCAGCGGGUCCCUCGACAUCAUUCUGUCUCAGUUGCAGAUUUCAAAUCGUGGUCAAUUUGUGUCUGUGAAUCACAAUUAAAGACAAUGAGUGAUCACAGCAUUUCCACCAAUUGAGCCAUACACAAUACAAUUUAAGCAUUGAGGACAACACUGUUGACAACAUGGUUUAUACUAUGUCUACUGUGUGUGAAUGAUGGAAGAAUCUUAUCCCAGCUGUAGGUCCAUUUGAGUGUGUGGUCACUUAGGCCUGCACAUCAACCAGUACUGGGACCUUUGGAGACUUGGGAUGCUUGUUCUCAAAGUGCUGCUUGAAUGUCUUCAGGUCUGCGUCUAUAAAAACGUGAAAGACAAAAUGGAGGAAGUUAAUCUGUGGUUUAGAUUGAAUUCAAAGUAGACACAAAUGAUAAACUAAGCAAUGUGAUGCCACACUAAUACACAGAUGAAAGACUGUACCACAGGACAGUACAACAGCCUACACAUGGAGAGGAACGUAAAGGCACAUACAGUACCAAACAAUACUACUUUCCCAAUAGACAGGGCAGGUGUGGACCAGUGCUGCCUUGACUGUAGUCUUCUGGUCCACAGCUGCUACCUUCUUCUUAGCAGCCGCCGCGUUGGCAUUAGUCAACAAGUUGACUUGAGAGUGGAGUAUGCGUUAUAUUUUAUUUUUUUAUUUCACCUUUAUUUAACCAGGUAGGCUAGUUGAGAACAAGUUCUCAUUUGCAACUGCGACCUGGCCAAGAUAAAGCAUAGCAGUGUGAGCAGACAGAGUUACACAUGGAAUAAACAAUUAACAAGUCAAUAACACAGUAGAAAACAAAGGGGGGAGUCUAUAUACAAUGUGUGCAAAAGGCAUGAGGAGGUAGGCGAAUAAUUACAAUUUUGCAGAUUAACACUGGAGUGAUAGAUGAUCAGAUGGUCAUGUACAGGUAGAGAUAUUGGUGUGCAAAAGAGCAGAAAAGUAAAUAAAAACAGUAUGGGGAUGAGGUAGGUGAAAAUGGGUGGGCUAUUUACCAAUAGACUAUGUACAGCAGCAGCGAUCGGUUAGCUGCUCAGAUAGCAGAUGUUUGAAGUUGGUGAGGGAGAUAAGUCUCCAACUUCAGUGAUUUUUGCAAUUCGUUCCAGUCACAGGCAGCAGAGUACUGGAACGAAAGGCGGCCAAAUGAGGUGUUGGCUUUAGGGAUGAUCAGUGAGAUACACCUGCUGGAGCGCGUGCUACGGAUGGGUGUUGCCAUCGUGACCAGUGAACUGAGAUAAGGCAGAGCUUUACCUAGCAUGGACUUGUAGAUGACCUGGAGCCAGUGGGUCUGGCGACGAAUAUGUAACGAGGGCCAGCCGACUAGAGCAUACAGGUCGCAGUGGUGGGUGGUAUAAGGUGCUUUAGUGACAAAACGGAUGGCACUGUGAUAGACUGCAUCCAGUUUGCUGAGUAGAGUGUUGGAAGCCAUUUUGUAGGAUGACAUCGCCGAAGUCGAGGAUCGGUAGGAUAGUCAGUUUUACUAGGGUAAGCUUGGCGGCGUGAGUGAAGGAGGCUUUGUUGCGGAAUAGAAAGCAGACUCUUGAUUUGAUUUUCGAUUGGAGAUGUUUGAUAUGAGUCUGGAAGGAGAGUUUGCAGUCUAGCCAGACACCUAGGUACUUAUAGAUGUCCACAUAUUCAAGGUCGGAACAGGCAGUGCAGGCAGCGAUCGGUUGAAAAGCAUGCAUUUGGUUUUACUAGCGUUUAAGAGCAGUUGGAGGCCACGGAAGGAGUGUUGUAUGGCAUUGAAGCUUGUUUGGAGGUUAGAUAGCACAGUGUCCAAUGACGGGCCGAAAGUAUAUAGAAUGGUGUCGUCUGCGUAGAGGUGGAUCAGGGAAUCGCCCGCAGCAAGAGCAACAUCAUUGAUAUAUAUAUAAAUACCGGGAAAUUGAACCCCCCUCCCCGAUUGUACCCGUACUGAAUAAUGACUUAAGUGGGUGUAUAAGUUUUUGUUCCAGCCCAGCUCAUGCCUGAUUACAAAUCAUAGCCUAUCGCUGUGAUUCGUCAUGUUGAUCAUUUAAGUCAGGUGUUAGGGCUGGGCUGGAACAAAAACCUUCACACACACUCCUGCUCUUCAGGACUUGCUGCAAUGACUGAAACAGACCAAAGCAGGUCGAAACAGCUUGCCUAGUUGAGAGGUGAUAAGACCUAUUGAGUCUGGAAUACAGAAGGUGCAAAUAAGGUUAAUAAUUAUACUUAGGGGCCUCCAGAGUGGAGCAGCGGUCUAACAGUGCUAGAGGCAUCACUACAGAUCCAUGUUCGAUCCCGAGCUGUGUCGCAGCCGGCUGUGACAGGGAGACCGAUGAGGCAGCGCACAAUUGGCCCAGCAUCGUCCGGGUUAGAAGAUGGUUUGGCCGGUUGGGAUGUCCUUGUUCCAUCUUGCUCUAGCGACUCCUUGUGGCGGCCGGGAGCAGUGCACGCUGACUUUGGUUGCCAGCUGUACGGUGUUUCAGACACAUUGGUGCGGCUGGCUUCCAAGUUACGCGGGUAGUGUGUCAAGAAGUAGUGCAGUUUAGCGGGAUCGUGUUUCGAGGAUGCAUGGCUCUCAACCUUCGCCUCUCCCGAGUCCGUACGGGAGUUGCAGCGAUGGGACAAGACUUUAACUACCAAUUGGAUAUUACGAAAUUGGGGAGAAAAAGGGGUAAAAAAGUAUAUACACACACACACUUGAAAAAAAACGAGUCAUUUAAAACCCACCAUAGUUGGUAGGACUAAAUAAAGUUACAUAACCUUCCCUACUAGCUAUACUAAUGAUAUGCUGUCUAGAGGGGAAACAGGUCAAUGUUUCCUCACAGUAAAGUACAUACACUUGCUAAUGAUUAGGAUGCUAAUCAGUCCAUCUCUGAAACCUCUAAAAAGCCAGACCAAAAUAAUACUGCUAGCCUAGGAUAGCUGCAAGUCAAGUAUUACCCACAGACACAAACAUGAGCUAGAAUGUUAUAUGGUGAAACUAAGUUAGCUAGCUAGUUCAGUAGCAAGCUAAACUGUUGGUUUAUGAAAGCUUAACUAGUUAUGAACUUCAUGCAUUUAUCAGGUGUUCAUUUUUUACUUGCCCAAUACAGUUCAGACUUCUUCAUUUAAACAAAUUACCAUAUUUAGCUAACAUUGGAUAGAAUCUCAGGAUAAACUUACUUUUGCCCCGAUUCAUCAGUCUCGUCCAGAUCAUCAUGGCCAUGGUAAAUGACGUGAAGCUUGAGAAGGGCAUUUGUAGUUCUGUAUGAUAGCCACAUAAGCCGCUAAUUAGCAUUUCCUUUUUGGGAGGGGUAAAUACAAUGUGACGUUUAUCAAUAUAUAGAGCAUUCUGACAUCAGCCUCUGAUGCUGCUAUUGAAUCUGAGCAGCCUGUCAGGAAUAGAGCGCACCCACUCAUGAUCAUCUACAUGAUGCACUGACUGCUAAUCUGCCUGCAAGGAGCUUUGCUUAUGAAACAGCCUACAAGGCAGAAUCCUAACAUAUCAACCUCAGAGGCUGCUAUUGAAUCUGAUCAGCCUGUCAGGAACUCUGUACAUUUUUAUAUUAUCCAUAAAACAUGAAGUGUCCCUUGCAAUUAUACACAUAUCAGUUAUGCAAACUAACAACCAGCAAAGACAGCUAGCUAGCUAGCUAGCUAGCUAGCUAGCUAGCUAGCUAGCUAGCUAGCAAGCAAGAGUACCUACCUAGCCAGCCAAGUUAGCUGCGUUGUUGCUUGCAUGUGAUUGGCUGUAGUCCUGGGGGUGGCAUACAGCCUGAGAGAUCAAGUUUGUCAGGCAUCAUUCAGGGCUUAAAUCCCCCACAAACUCUUAGCGCUAGGUAAUGGACAUUUAGCUGGCUAACAUUCUAAUUUAUAAACUGAUAAUGAGCUUCAAACAUAAAUGAAAGCAUGAAAUGUACCAUCCAUCAGUGUGGCAAUCAAUAAAAACGUAUGAGCUGAUCCACCGUGAGCUCUGCCGCCUCAACCAUACUGUCAAUCUCUUUAGUAAGUACAUUCCUAUUUGUAUAGUUGACCUAGACAAAAACAACUUUGUUUUAUUUUAACCUUUAUUUACCUAGGCAAGUCAGUUAAGAACAAAUUCUUAUUUACAAUGAAGGCCUACCCUGGCCAAACCCUAACGAUGCUGGGCCAAUUGUGCACCACCCUAUGAUACAGCCUGGAAUCGAACCAGUGACACCGAUGCAGUGCCUUAGACCGCUGCGCCACUUGGGAGCCCUAAAUGUCAUGACCAUGAGACAAUCAUCUCAUGGUCAACAAAACAACUUUUGUUAUGUAGUGACCAUGAGAUAAAUAAAUUGUGCUUGACAUAACAAGGGAAUACAUUUUUCUUCCAUAUGCCCUCUGGACUUUCGUAGGUUUGAGGUGGAUUAUCCCAUUUAAUUGCAAACAGACGACUCCCUUCUAACCUGCCACAAGCCUCAGUAGCAGAUAGCGCUGACUUUGCUGAUAGCUAUUCGGAGGAAAAGUGUAUUUACUAUGCCUGUGAUGUGGUUGUCCCACUUAGCUGUUUUAAGAUGAAUGCACGAACUAAGUCGCUCUGGAUAAGAGCGUCUGCUAAAUUACUAAAAUGUAAAUGUUAAAAUGUAACCGAGUGAAAUGUGCUGUUCUCAUUAGAACACAAAAUGUACUCCACAUGACAUUAGUCAACAUGUAGCAAGCAUAACACCUUUAUCAAACAUAUCCUUUGGGACAGAACAAAUAUCUAUCAAUCAUUUACAUGCCCUAUUUUAGGAAAGGUAAUGUACACAAAACACACUGAGAAUAACAUGUAUGGUGAGAGGUUGUCCCCCAGGCUGAAAUUUCCCAGCAGUGGAAACACUUCAUUCUGUCAAGUUCAGCAAAGCACAGAGCCGAGAGAAAACUCCCCUGACAAAGGAAAGAGAUACGUAAUAAACCAGAGCUGGCAUGAAGCUACAAGCUAUUAGUCACUCUUUAUUUUUACAUUUUAGUAAUUUAUCACACUCUUAUCCAGAGCAAUUUACAGGAGCAAUUAGGGUUGCGCAAGAGGACAUAAUAUUUUUUCACAGAGUCAGCUCAGGGAUUAGAUCCAGCGACAUUUAGGUUAUUGAGCCAAUUCUUAACUGCUAGGCUACCUGCCGUGGAUAUGUCCAAAACCAGGAAUCCUGCUGUACUUGUGCCUCUCGCUGUAUGAUUAUGUAAGCCCCUCCUCCUCAUACUUCAUUACCUCUUUUAGCCUCUCCACCUCCUGCAUCAGAGAGCUGACCAUGUCCUCCAACUUCCUAUUGGCUUCUCUCUCUUGCUCCAACUCCUACAAAUACAGAAAGACACAUCCAUUUAUGAUUCAAUGCAGCUGAGGGUUGUGAAUUGUUUUAGAGCAGUGAUUCUUCAACAGUAGGAGAACCACAAUUGGGUCACA